UACGUAGGGUGCGAGCGUUGUCCGGAAUUACUGGGCGUAAAGAGCUCGUAGGUGGUUUGUCGCGUUGUUCGUGAAAACUCACAGCUCAACUGUGGGCGUGCGGGCGAUACGGGCAGACUGGAGUACUGCAGGGGAGACUGGAAUUCCUGGUGUAGCGGUGGAAUGCGCAGAUAUCAGGAGGAACACCGGUGGCGAAGGCGGAUCUCUGGGCCAUUACUGACGCUGAGGAGCGAAAGCGUGGGGAGCGAACAGG
rnacentral:rRNA from 1 species